rnacentral:rRNA from 1 species
CUGAGGCGUGACGACGAGGCACUACGGUGCUGAAGCAACAAAUGCCCUGCUUCCAGGAAAAGCCUCUAAGCAUCAGGUAACAUCAAAUCGUACCCCAAACCGACACAGGUGGUCAGGUAGAGAAUACCAAGGCGCUUGAGAGAACUCGGGUGAAGGAACUAGGCAAAAUGGUGCCGUAACUUCGGGAGAAGGCACGCUGACACGUAGGUGAAGUGAUUUACUCACGGAGCUGAAGUCAGUCGAAGAUACCAGCUGGCUGCAACUGUUUAUUAAAAACACAGCACUGUGCAAACACGAAAGUGGACGUAUACGGUGUGACGCCUGCCCGGUGCCGGAAGGUUAAUUGAUGGGGUCAGCGCAAGCGAAGCUCCUGAUCGAAGCCCCGGUAAACGGCGGCCGUAACUAUAACGGUCCUAAGGUAGCGAAAUUCCUUGUCGGGUAAGUUCCGACCUGCACGAAUGGCGUAAUGAUGGCCAGGCUGUCUCCACCCGAGACUCAGUGAAAUUGAACUCGCUGUGAAGAUGCAGUGUACCCGCGGCAAGACGGAAAGACCCCGUGAACCUUUACUAUAGCUUGACACUGAACAUUGAGCCUUGAUGUGUAGGAUAGGUGGGAGGCUUUGAAGCGUGGACGCCAGUCUGCGUGGAGCCGACCUUGAAAUACCACCCUUUAAUGUUUGAUGUUCUAACGUGGACCCGUUACCCGGGUUGCGGACAGUGUCUGGUGGGUAGUUUGACUGGGGCGGUCUCCUCCUAAAGAGUAACGGAGGAGCACGAAGGUUGGCUAAUCCUGGUCGGACAUCAGGAGGUUAGUGCAAUGGCAUAAGCCAGCUUGACUGCGAGCGUGACGGCGCGAGCAGGUGCGAAAGCAGGUCAUAGUGAUCCGGUGGUUCUGAAUGGAAGGGCCAUCGCUCAACGGAUAAAAGGUACUCCGGGGAUAACAGGCUGAUACCGCCCAAGAGUUCAUAUCGACGGCGGUGUUUGGCACCUCGAUGUCGGCUCAUCACAUCCUGGGGCUGAAGUAGGUCCCAAGGGUAUGGCUGUUCGCCAUUUAAAGUGGUACGCGAGCUGGGUUUAGAACGUCGUGAGACAGUUCGGUCCCUAUCUGCCGUGGGCGCUGGAGAACUGAGGGGGGCUGCUCCUAGUACGAGAGGACCGGAGUGGACGCAUCACUGGUGUUCGGGUUGUCAUGCCAAUGGCACUGCCCGGUAGCUAAAUGCGGAAGAGAUAAGUGCUGAAAGCAUCUAAGCACGAAACUUGCCCCGAGAUGAGUUCUCCCUGAGACUUUAGGUCUCCUGAAGGAACGUUGAAGACGACGACGUUGAUAGGCCGGGUGUGUAAGCGCAGCGAUGCGUUGAGCUAACCGGUACUAAUGAACCGUGAGGCUUAACC